rnacentral:tRNA from 1 species
GGCCACGUACCCGAGGGGUUAGGGAGCGGUCUGCAAAACCGUUUACGUGGGUUCGAGUCCCACCGUGGCCU